rnacentral:lncRNA from 1 species
CCCCGUGCAAAAAGUCCUAGUGCAAAGUCCUAGUGCAAAAGGUCCUCGUGCAAAUAAUGCUUGUGCAAAUGAUGCUUGUGCAAAUGAUCCUCGUGCAAAGAGCCUCAAUGCAGCCCCCCCUCAAUGCUGGGCUAUAGGAUGGUGUACCCCCCCCCCCGUGCAAUGCCUGGGCUAUAGGAUGACAUGCAGCAGCCCCCCCCGUGCAAUGCAAUGUGCUUGUGCAAAGCCCUUGUGCAAAAGGUCCUUGUGCAAAAGAUCCUUGUGCAAAAGGUCCUUGUGCAAAGAGCCUCAAUGCAGCCCCCCCCCCAAUGCUGGGCUAUAGGAUGGCAUGCAGCCCCCCCUCGUGCAAUGCAAUGUGCUUGUGCAAAGUCCUAGUGCAAAAGGUCCUCGUGCAAAUGAUGCUUGUGCAAAUGAUCCUCGUGCAAAGAGCCUCAAUGCAGCCCCCCCCCCAAUGCUGGGCUAUAGGAUGGCAUGCAGCCCCCCCUCGUGCAAAGCAAUGUGGCAAUGCACUUGUGCAAAGUCCUUGUGCAAAAGGUCCUCGUGCAAAAGGUCCUUGUGCAAAGUCCUUGUGCAAAAGGUCCCUGUGCAAAUGAUCCUCAUGCAAAGAGCCUCAAUGUAUACCCCCAAUGCUGGGCUAUAGGAUGGUGUGCAGCCCCCCCCCGUGCAAUGCCUGGGCUAUAGGAUAACAUGCAGCAGCCCCCCCUCGUGCAAUGCAAUGUGCUUGUGCAAAGUCCUUGUGCAAAUGGUCCUCGUGCAAAAGGUCCUCGUGCAAAUGAUCCUUGUGCAAAACUUCCUUGUGCAAAGAGCCUCAAUGCAGCCCCCCACAAUGCUGGGCUAUAGGAUGGUGUACAGCUCCCCCUCGUGCAAUGCAACGCGCUUGUGCAAAGUCCUCGUGCAAAAGGUCCUCAUGCAGAAGGUCCUUGUGCAAAAGGUCCUUGUGCAAAAGGUCCUCGUGCAAAUGAUCCUCGGUGCAAAGAAGCUCAAUGGCAGCAGAUUAGCCCCCCAAUGCUGGGACUAUAGGAUUGGUGUACAGGACCUCACUACCAGUUGAAAAAGUCCUUGUGCAAAGUCCCUUGUGCAAAAAGGUCUCGUCGCAAAUGGUCGCUUGUGCAAAAGAGCCUCAAUGUAUACCCCCAUGCUGGGCUAUAGGAUGGUGUAACCCCCCCCGUGGCAAUGCACAUGUGGCUUUGCGAAAAAGUCUCGUGCAAAGGGAUGGGUCCCUUGUGGAAAAAGGUCUCCGUGCAAAGAGCUCAUGUAUAUCCCAGUUGCUGGACCAUAGGAUGACAUGCAGACCCCCUCGGUGCAAUGCAAUGUGCUUGUGCAAAGUCCUCGUGACAAAUUGAUGCUUGUGCAACAAGGUCCUCGUGAAAAUGAUAGGCUUGUGCAAUGAUCCCUC